UUCGUAGGGUGCAAGCGUUAAUCGGAAUUACUGGGCGUAAAGCGUGCGCAGGCGGUUUUGUAAGUCUGUCGUGAAAGCCCCGGGCUUAACCUGGGAAUUGCGAUGGAGACUGCAAGGCUUGAAUCUGGCAGAGGGGGGUAGAAUUCCACGUGUAGCAGUGAAAUACGUAGAGAUGUGGAGGAACACCGAUGGCGAAGGCAGCCCCCUGGGUCAAGAUUGACGCUCAUGCACGAAAGCGUGGGGAGCAAACAGG
rnacentral:rRNA from 1 species